rnacentral:rRNA from 1 species
CCUACGGGAGGCAGCAGUAGGGAAUAUUGCUCAAUGGGGGAAACCCUGAAGCAGCAACGCCGCGUGGAGGAUGAAGGUUUUAGGAUUGUAAACUCCUUUUGUUAGAGAAGAUUAUGACGGUAUCUAACGAAUAAGUACCGGCUAACUCCGUGCCAGCAGCCGCGGUAAUACGGAGGGUGCAAGCGUUACUCGGAAUCACUGGGCGUAAAGAGUGCGUAGGCGGGGUAAUAAGUCAGAUGUGAAAUCCUGUAGCUUAACUACAGAACUGCAUUUGAAACUGUUACUCUGGAGUGUGGGAGAGGUAGGUGGAAUUCUUGGUGUAGGGGUAAAAUGCGUAGAGAUCAAGAGGAAUACUCAUUGCGAAGGCGACCUGCUGGAACAUUACUGACGCUGAGGCACGAAAGCGUGGGGAGCAAACAGGAUUAGAUACCCGGGUAGUC